rnacentral:rRNA from 1 species
GGGGGAAACGUCCGGAACGGGCGCUAAUACCGCAUACGUCCUGAGGGAGAAAGUGGGGGAUCUUCGGACCUCACGCUAUCAGAUGAGCCUAGGUCGGAUUAGCUAGUUGGUGGGGUAAAGGCCUACCAAGGCGACGAUCCGUAACUGGUCUGAGAGGAUGAUCAGUCACACUGGAACUGAGACACGGUCCAGACUCCUACGGGAGGCAGCAGUGGGGAAUAUUGGACAAUGGGCGAAAGCCUGAUCCAGCCAUGCCGCGUGUGUGAAGAAGGUCUUCGGAUUGUAAAGCACUUUAAGUUGGGAGGAAGGGCAGUAAGUUAAUACCUUGCUGUUUUGACGUUACCAACAGAAUAAGCACCGGCUAACUUCGUGCCAGCAGCCGCGGUAAUACGAAGGGUGCAAGCGUUAAUCGGAAUUACUGGGCGUAAAGCGCGCGUAGGUGGUUCAGCAAGUUGGAUGUGAAAUCCCCGGGCUCAACCUGGGAACUGCAUCCAAAACUACUGAGCUAGAGUACGGUAGAGGGUGGUGGAAUUUCCUGUGUAGCGGUGAAAUGCGUAGAUAUAGGAAGGAACACCAGUG